rnacentral:rRNA from 1 species
GUGGGGAAUAUUGGACAUUGGGCGAAAGCCUGAUCCAGCCAUGCCGCGUGUGUGAAGAAGGUCUUCGGAUUGUAAAGCACUUUAAGUUGGGAGGAAGGGUAGUAACCUAAUACGUUGCUACUUUGACGUUACCGACAGAAUAAGCACCGGCUAACUUCGUGCCAGCAGCCGCGGUAAUACGAAGGGUGCAAGCGUUAAUCGGAAUUACUGGGCGUAAAGCGCGCGUAGGUGGUUCAGUAAGUUGGAGGUGAAAUCCCCGGGCUCAACCUGGGAACUGACUCCAAAACUGCAUGACUAGAGUACGGUAGAGGGUAGUGGAAUUUCCUGUGUAGCGGUGAAAUGCGUAGAUAUAGGAAGGAACACCAGUGGCGAAGGCGACUACCUGGACUGAUACUGACACUGAGGUGCGAAAGCAUGGGGAGCAAACAGGAUUAGAAACCCGAGUAGUCC